UGGUAGCUGGAUUUUUUAUAGAUCUUGUCUGAUUACCCAGUAUGACUCAAUUAUCAAUGUUUGUUACCUAAGGAUUCUUUUUAUUCUCUAAUAUUCAUCUAUUCCCUUCUUGAUACAAUGAUCAAUUGAGGGCUUGAACAAGAACCGCCCAUAACAGCUACCCUUUUAACAUAUGAAAUUGCCAGAUUGGAUGGAAUUAGAUCAUUGACUGAACACGACAGUAUCCACUGUAUAUCUGAUUUGUUCAGCACUCUAUAUGAUAAUCUAAGGAAGGACACUAUAGAAAGACAUGGUCCAGGUCUUCAAACUGAUUCCUGUGUAAGCACAUCAAUUGGGGAAAGAAGAAUGUGUGCGGCUUCUCUGUAACAAAAUCACAUGUCAGUAACUUACCUCAUGCGAAUAAGGCAAUAACCAUGAAAAAAACCUGAACUUUUUUAGAUGGAUCCAAGAUUCACCUCCGAACAAUAUCCUUAUCAUCUAUCAGUUGAAGUCUUUCCAUCUGCCUGAGCAAAGAACACAAGUGAUGCAAUUCAAAGUCUUGAAGAUCACAAAACAUAUGUAAGUCCCAAAAA